rnacentral:misc_RNA from 1 species
GAUGAAGAACGCAGCGAAAUGCGAUAAGUAAUGUGAAUUGCAGAAUUCAGUGAAUCAUCGAAUCUUUGAACGCACAUUGCGCCCUCUGGUAUUCCGGGGGGCAUGCCUGUUCGAGCGACAUUAUAACCACUCAAGCUCUCGCUUGGUAUUGGGGCUCGCGGUUCCGCGGCCCCUAAAAUCAGUGGCGGUGCCUGUCGGCUCUACGCGUAGUAAUACUCCUCGCGAUUGAGUCCGGUAGGUCUACUUGCCAGCAACCCCCAAUUUUUACAGGUUGACCUCGGAUCAGGUAGGGAUACCCGCUGAACUUAAGCAUAUCAAUAAGCGGAGGA